UACGGGGGGGGCAAGCGUUGUUCGGAAUUACUGGGCGUAAAGGGCCAGUAGGCGGCCAACUAAGUCGGAUGUGAAAUCCCCAGGCUUAACCUGGGAACUGCAUCCGAUACUGGAUGGCUUGAAUUCGGGAGAGGGAUGCAGAAUUCCAGGUGUAGCGGUGAAAUGCGUAGAUAUCUGGAGGAACACCGGUGGCGAAGGCGGCAUCCUGGACCGACACUGACGCUGAGGCGCGAAAGCUAGGGGAGCAAACGGG
rnacentral:rRNA from 1 species